UAGGUUCAAUGUCCUAGCCGAUCCUCAGU
rnacentral:piRNA from 1 species